rnacentral:rRNA from 1 species
UACGUAGGGUGCAAGCGUUUAAUCGGAAUUACUGGGCGUAAAGCGUGCGCAGGCGGUGAUGUAAGACAGUUGUGAAAUCCCCGGGCUCAACCUGGGAACUGCAUCUGUGACUGCAUCGCUGGAGUACGGUAGAGGGGGAUGGAAUUCCGCGUGUAGCAGUGAAAUGCGUAGAUAUGCGGAGGAACACCGAUGGCGAAGGCAAUCCCCCUGGACCUGUACUGACGCUCAUGCACGAAAAGCGUGGGGAGCAAACAGG